CCGUUUCUCCCUGAUGAGAGGUUUGGCCUCAAGCAGGCACCUAGGAUACUGGGAGCUGGAAGCUGGGAGCUAUGGCCUCUUAGGCCUUAGAACAUGAUGAUAGCAACCCAGCUUCUAGUCUCCAGAGGCUGCUGGAGAGCCACCUGGAGAUGUGUGAAGUCCUUCAGGCCUUGCCCAGCUAUGGCCAAGGAAAAUGGCCAAGAUGUCAAUCAAGGCCAGGUAGAGGCAGGAAAAGUGACUAGGAGCCCAGUUAAGGACUUGGCUGAAGUCUGGGUAGCUGGAGCUCUUCAGAGGGGCCUCAUGCAAGGCACAAGCCAGGGGCUGAAUCAGUGUGAAAGAAAGGGCGGAUUCAUUCCAAGAGCAGAAGCCGGGGAAAGGCCCUGCUUUGUGACCUGCUGAUGAGCAGCUGAAGUGGGACGGACAAACAGAGGCCAGAAGCGGAGCUGGGCAGCGGUCAAAUGGCAGAUUGCUAGGCAUGAGUGAGUUUGAGUCUUAGCGUAAAAGGAGGGAGAACGGCCGGUGUGACAGCCGGGUCACCAGUUCUCAACUGGUGUAAAGGGAGCAGAGAGGCGGCCUGAGGCCAGAGGAGACUCUGGAGAUGCUGGGGUCCGGCACUGUGGUCAGCUGGCUGAGCUGAGGACAGCUGCUCUGGGCCCUGGCUGCACCUGGGUUGAUCUUCCACGCAGGCAUCAGGACCUGCUGGAGGGAAAGUUCUUAGAAGGCUGGAGAGGGGAAGGAGAUGCCUUGGCCCUGGAUGCCUCCCCUCCCUCAUUCUCAGCCUGCCUCCUACUGAGACUCCUGGUCUUUCUCCCUUCAGCAGGCAAGGGUAGUGCUUGGAAGGUAACCCUGUGGUACUGAGCCCCUGGGAGGGCUGUUCUUCUGGAUCUCUGGAAGGAAUGGGUGUUGUUUGAUGUGGCAAGACCAGAUGUUUCUGCUUCUGCCGAGUUGCCAUCCCUGCCCUGAUGGACUGGACCGCCUAGAGCUGUGAGCCAAAACAGACAUGAUGGACUGGACCCCCUAAGACUGUGAGCCAAAACAGACAUGAUGGACUGGACCCCCCCUAAGACUGUGAGCAGAAAUAAACCUUCCUCCUUAAAGGUGUUUCUUGUCAGGCAUCUAUUAUGGCAAUGAGAAAGAAACUGCUGUGACUCCCUAAUAAAAAGAGAUAGGAAACUUUGCUGCACCCUUGCCUGAGAUUCCAGGCACCCACCCCCUUCUUCUCUACAGCUGCUGGUGGUCUUAGGGGUGCCAGAGUGUACAAGAGGUGAAGGUGUGUUGGGAGGGAGAUUACGGUACACUUUGGUGAGGUCAUCACUCUUUCUAGGGUGGAAUUUUUCAGUGCUGAAGUUGCUUUUCCAUCAACCAUGUUUCUGUGACAGUCACAACAGACCAUUGGUUCACCGGCUGAACUUGGGCAGAAUCCCUUCUGGUUUGUUGUGUCUGAUCGGGGGCGAACAUAAUUUUUUAUUUUUUAAUUUUUUUUUUUGCAUUUCUUGGACAAAAAAAAUCACACAGGAUUCUUUUGUACCUAAUGGAGAUCUGCAUGGCAGUCCUGCACAGACAGCAGCACAGACCCGAUUGGCUAGAGGCCACUGUCCCCACCAAGCCUGCUGCCACUCCAGGUGACAUCUACGAAUGGAGGAGUCACUAUUCACACUUCUGACCAGCUGGCUGGCAGUCCAGGGCUCCCAGGUCCCCUCCAGGGAAGGGCUGAUCACAUAUGGUUCAGCAUUCCAAGCUUGCCUGACCUAUGGGUGGUCCUUCUGGUGGGCAGCCCCAAAGGGCCACCUCAUUAGCAUAAACACAGGUGCUAAGUCUCUCCUCCCAGCAGGUGACCUUGGACUUCUUAGAAAUUCUGUGUCAGGAACUGGGCCAGACAUAUUCUUCACAAAGCAUGCAGCCCGACACCAAGGAAGACAAAGAAAACGUGUGGGGUGGAUGGAGGGAAAGUGUCCAGGGACGUGUCCAGAUUUCUCUGACAUGGGGGGAUGCUGCUGUGACCCCUGCCGUUCAUCACCUCCAGGGUUGAAAUCAGCUGGGUAGGCGGAGGUUUUUUCUCCCUCACGGCUCUUCACAUCCUCCAGGAGCCGUGCACUCAGUCGAAGAGGAUGCCCUUCUCCGUAGAUGAGGACUGCUCUUUGGCCAAGGACUGCGCCUUCCUGCUGGAGCUGCCCAACAAGCUAAAGGUCUGGCUCCGCUUGCAGCCACUGUCCACUGCUCUUGUUCUUUGAUUGUGGACGAGGCUGUUUCCUUUCAGUGUCAUCAAUGACGCAGGGGGCUUUGAGUCUCUGCCAAAGACUAUGGAAUGGGACCUGGGGGGCAGGGGUGAGGCAGAGAGGGACUGAGGGAGGGUGUGGAG